CCUACGGGGGGCAGCAGUGGGGAAUAUUGGACAAUGGGGGGAACCCUGAUCCAGCCAUGCCGCGUGUGUGAAGAAGACCCUCGGGUUGUAAAGCACUUUCAGUGAGGAAGAACGCCUGGUGGUUAAUACCCAUCAGGAAAGACAUCACUCACAGAAGAAGCACCGGCUAACUCCGUGCCAGCAGCCGCGGUAAUACGGAGGGUGCGAGCGUUAAUCGGAAUUACUGGGCGUAAAGCGCGCGUAGGUGGCUUGAUAAGCCGGUUGUGAAAGCCCCGGGCUCAACCUGGGAACGGCAUCCGGAACUGUCAAGCUAGAGUGCAGGAGAGGAAGGUAGAAUUCCCGGUGUAGCGGUGAAAUGCGUAGAGAUCGGGAGGAAUACCAGUGGCGAAGGCGGCCUUCUGGACUGACACUGACACUGAGGUGCGAAAGCGUGGGUAGCAAACAGGAUUAGAUACCCCUGUAGUC
rnacentral:rRNA from 1 species